GAUGAACGCUGGCGGCGUGCUUAACACAUGCAAGUCGAACGGAAAGGCCCAAGCUUGCUUGGGUCCUCGAGUGGCGAACGGGUGAGUAACACGUGGGUGAUCUGCCCUGCACUUCGGGAUAAGCCUGGGAAACUGGGUCUAAUACCGGAUAGGACCACAUUUUGGAUGGUGUGGUGGAAAGUUUUUCGGUGUGGGAUGAGCUCGCGGCCUAUCAGCUUGUUGGUGGGGUAAUGGCCUACCAAGGCGUCGACGGGUAGCCGGCCUGAGAGGGUGUACGGCCACAUUGGGACUGAGAUACGGCCCAGACUCCUACGGGAGGCAGCAGUGGGGAAUAUUGCACAAUGGGCGCAAGCCUGAUGCAGCGACGCCGCGGGGGGGAUGACGGCCUUCGGGUUGUAAACUCCGUUCGCUAGGGACGAAGCGUUAUGUGACGGUACCUGGAGAAGAAGCACCGGCUAACUACGUG
rnacentral:rRNA from 1 species